AACAAACGCUGGCGGCGUGCCUAAUACAUGCAAGUCGAACGAAGAAAGUACUUCGGUACGAGUAAGAGUGGCGCACGGGUGAGUAACGCGUGGAUAAUCUGCCCUGGAGUGGGGAACAACCUAUCGAAAGGUAGGCUAAUACCGCAUAAGACCACAGAAGCUGCGGCUUCAGUGGUCAAAGAUUUAUCGCUCCUGGAUGAGUCCGCGUAAGAUUAGCUUGUUGGUGAGGUAAUGGCUCACCAAGGCUCCGAUCUUUAACUGGUUUGAGAGGAUGAUCAGUCACACUGGAACUGAGACACGGUCCAGACUCCUACGGGAGGCAGCAGUAGGGAAUAUUGCGCAAUGGGGGAAACCCUGACGCAGCGACGCCGCGUGUGUGAUGAAGGCUUUAGGGUCGUAAAGCACUGUCGUAGAGGAAUAACACAAUGAAGGUACUCUACAAGAAAGGACCGGCUAACUUCG
rnacentral:rRNA from 1 species